GACGAGCAUCGACAUCAGAUUGAGCAUCCGCCAGUUGUUAUUCUGCCCACAGCAUCUGUCACUGAAUAUGAUCAACUUGCGCACCUCUGGUUUGCCAGUUCCAGUUACCGGGCUCCUCGGACUUGGAGAGUAGCACCUUGUUAUGCCAUCACUCAAGAGCAACUGAGGUGUCUGAUGUCCUGUGCUUUCAGUGUGUCUCAGAUGGCAGAUCUUCUACAUGUGUCUCGAUUGACAGUCAAAUUGACAGUCGUCUAAGACACUUCAAUCUGUCACAUGCACCGUUAUAUUCUGACAUGUCAGACUUGGCUCUGAAUGAAAAGAUUAAGGACUUGGUGGCUGGGAACGACAAACGUGGACCGGAGGCUGUUCAAUCACAAUUAAGGGCUCUGGGUGCAGAGACGCAGAGUGAGGGACAGCAUGCUUCGUGUUAACCCGAGGGCGGCUGCCCUCAGAGCCAUGUCGCAGAGGCUGCAUAGAAGGUCAUACUGUGUUGCUGGACCAAACUCGUUAGGGCACCUUGAUGGAAACCACAAACUGAUAAGGUAGAUG
ensembl:lncRNA